AACGAACGCUGGCGGCAUGCCUAACACAUGCCAGUCGAACGAGAACUUCGGGUCGGGUGGCGCACGGGUGCGUAACGCGUGGGAACCUGCCCUUAGGCUCGGCAUAACUCCCCGAAAGGGGUGCUAAUACCGGAUAAUGUCUUCGGACCAAAGCUUUAUCGACUUUGGGUGUGCCCGAGUUGGAUUAGCUAGUUGGUAUGGUAAAAGCCUACCAAGGCGACGAUCCAUAGCUGGUCUGAGAGGAUGAUCAGCCACACUGGGACUGAGACACGGCCCAGACUCCUGCGGGAGGCAGCAGUUGGGAAUAUUGGACAAUGGGCGAAAGCCUGAUCCAGCAAGGCCGCGUGAGUGAUGAAGGCCUUAGGGUUGGAAAGCACUUUUACCCGGGAUGAUAAUGACAGUACCGGGAGAAUAAGCACCGGCUAACUCCGUG
rnacentral:rRNA from 1 species